UGACAUGGGCAGUUGGAAGAGUAACCAGUGACCAGCUAGGCUUAAAAGACAACGUGCCACUUGAAGUUGAAUGAUCUGGAAAGAAGAAAGAAUGCCAAAUUAACUGCAAUUAAGAGGCGAGAUACUGUGUGGCCUCAAAGAGCUUGAAAGAUCUCAGAGAACACUGUGACUAAAGAGUGAGCAAUAUAUCAAGUGACUUCAUUUUCCAUGUCACAACUGAAACCUCGGAGACCAGAAAGAUCAACAGCCUUGCCCACUAUUUAUAUCUGGAACAAGCUUUAAAAGAUUUUUAAAAAAGAAGAAAUCCAAGAUCCUGCCUCUCAAGAGUCAUGUUUUACUGAAGAGGAAAACUGUCCUAUGGGAGGUAAUAGAGCCAAGACUACAAAAAGUUUGGUCUUCUGACCUACUGGGGGGUUGUAUUGUUAUGUGGAAAACUGAGAAAUGUUUUGUAUGUACAAACAUAUUUACUGUUGACUGUAAAACACAUUAAUUCCCCAAUAAAGAAAUUUUUUUAAAAAUUAGGUUUUCCUUCU